CGAUGCCUUCUCUCCUUGUCUCCAACCUGUGAAACAACUUCCUCUUCUUCCACACCAAGUCCACCAUGGAUGAUCGCGGAGAUCCAAUCCUCCCUUCACAUUCGCCUUUCUCUCUCUUUCUUUCUCAAAUCUUGAGGCCCAUCAAAAAAAAGAUUCCACCUUCCCAGCAAUUCUUCGCUCAAAGAAUCUACAGUAGCAACCUUUAAUCUGCUACCUCCUCAAUUUCAUCCUGGUGUGUCUUGGUUGGUAGCCUAGAGAGUGAAAGACUAGCUUUGGUUAAUUUCCGUAGUCACUGAAUUGAGGUGUUGGGAUGAGGCUGCGGAAGGAGGCGACGUGUAAUUUGAACCAAUGGGCUAUGGACUUCGAUUGCAAUAUGAAGAACAUCAAGGAGUUGAUAGCUAAGGCUAAGGAGGCUAGGUUGUGAUUCAGCUUGGUCCUGAGCUUGAAAUUACUGGUUAUGGCUGCGAAGACCAUUUCCUCGAGCUCGAUACUGUUAAUCAUGCGUAAGUUCUUAGCAUUUCAAACUAGUUUUUCAAAGUUUAGUUUUGAAAAAGAAAAAAAUGGUAUAUAGAGUGUUAAAGCUUUUUGUUGACAAUACAUCAUCUUUUGGUCUCAUUUGUGGAUUAAUUAUGUGUAAAAAAAUUAACUUGCAAGGAAAUUUAUAAGUUAUUGUUAAUGGUAAUCUUGCAUGAUGAUUGAGAAGUGUGUUUGAACAAAAAGAUUAUCAUGAUAUACUUAAAGUUGUGGCUUGAGAUGUAUUAUUUUGAAAAUUAGUGUGGAUAUGUUAUGAACCCCAUAUUGCGCCA